rnacentral:rRNA from 1 species
GGUGGUGCAUGGUUGUCGUCAGCUCGUGUCGUGAGAUGUUGGGUUAAGUCCCGCAACCGAGCGCAACCCUCGUCCUAUGUUGCCAGCACGUAAUGGUGGGAACUCAUGGGAGACUUCCGGGGUCAACUCGGAGGAAGGUGGGGAUGACGUCAAAUCAUCAUGCCCCUUAUGUCUUGGGCUUCACGCAUGCUACAAUGGCCAGUACAAAGGGCUGCAAUACCGUAAGGUGGAGCGAAUCCCAAAAAGCUGGUCUCAGUUCGGAUUGAGGUCUGCAACUCGACCUCAUGAAGUCGGAGUCGCUAGUAAUCGCA